AGUGGGAUAGCUGGGUCAAAUACUGGUUCCACUCCAAGUUUUCUGAGGAAUACCCAUAUUGCUUUUCAUAACAGUUGCACCAAUUUGCAAUCCCACCAGCAAU
rnacentral:pre_miRNA from 1 species